GGGGAAUAUUGGACAAUGGGGGCAACCCUGAUCCAGCAAUGCCGCGUGAGUGAUGAAGGCCUUCGGGUUGUAAAGCUCUUUUGCCAGGGACGAUGAUGACGGUACCUGGAGAAUAAGCCCCGGCUAACUUCGUGCCAGCAGCCGCGGUAAUACGAAGGGUGCAAGCGUUACUCGGAAUUACUGGGCGUAAAGCGUGCGUAGGUGGUGAGUUAAGUCUGUCGUGAAAGCCCCGGGCUCAACCUGGGAAUGGCGAUGGAUACUGGCUCGCUAGAGUGCGGUAGAGGAGAGUGGAAUUCCCGGUGUAGCAGUGAAAUGCGUAGAGAUCGGGAGGAACAUCAGUUGCGAAGGCGGCUCUCUGGACCAGCACUGACACUGAGGCACGAAAGCGUGGGGAGCAAA
rnacentral:rRNA from 1 species